GAGGUAAGAUGAGUCCAAUUACUUUUCAUUUAUGAUCAAGAGACGAUAUCUUGGAGGAAAACCAAUUGCGUUUCAAGUAUACCAUCUCCUUACAGGGAAGGUAGCCGUCCAUCUUGGCUUUGAUGAAAAAGUAAAAUUGCAACUCUCCCUAUCGCUAUUUAUAGGAGAAAAUUUUUGGGUGAUUGACCCUCGUGAGGGUAAAAAGAAAGGAAAAUUUUUUUCCAUUCCAAUUUACCAUUCAU
rnacentral:misc_RNA from 1 species